AUGAUGCAGUUCCACAACACACAGCCACAUUCACCCACAGACCGAGGUACAGAACGAGAGACAACCUCUGCCCCCCCAGCAGCUGGCCAGCUUUGCAGCCCCAGUCUUGAGCCCCCAACUACCCUCCCCCCACCCACCCCCAUCCCCUUCCCAAUUGAAGGAGCGGAAAGAGAAGAGAGAAGAGUGAGCAGAGAGAUUGAGAGAUUGAGAGAGAGAGAGAGAGAUAGACGGAGAUCUCUGGAGCAGACCUCAAGGCUCUGAUCCCCUGAGACACAGUGCCUGUGCGAUGCAGAGCCUCACGAAGAACUGAAAACCAAGGAGAGGGCACUUGCAGAUGACGUUGCUCCCAUGGCAGCGUCUGUGCCCGUGGGCUUCUCUCUGUGGAAAAUGGUGGAGGCUGCUUCUGCCCCAGGAGGGAGAAACACCGACUCCCUGGCUUUGGCGCCAGAAGCCUGGAUCGGCUGCCAGGUGACUUCUAUUUCUAUCUGGUUCUCGUCUGGGGGGGCCCUGGCCGGGCAGCCCCCCAACACUUCUCCUGCCCUGAAACACGGCUCUAGCCAACC
rnacentral:ncRNA from 2 species